CGUGAGCAAUCUACCUUAGUUACUGGGAUAGCCCGAGGAAACUCGGAUUAAUACCGGAUAAUCUUAUUACAUCACGUGAUAUUUUAAGUAAAGGUCAGCCGAACUAAGAUGAGCUCGCGUUCUAUCAGCUAGUUGGUGGGGUAAAAGCCUACCAAGGCUACGACGGAUAGCUGGUCUGAGAGGACGAUCAGCCACACUGGGACUGAGACACGGCCCAGACUCCUACGGGAGGCUGCAGCAGGGAAUAUUGCGCAAUGAGCGAAAGCUUGACGCAGCGACACCGCGUGUGGGAUGACGGUUCUAGGAUUGUAAACCACUUUCAGGAGGGAAGAAAAUGACGGUACCUCCAUAAGAAGCCCCGGCCAACUACGUGCCAGCAGCCGCGGUAAUACGUAGGGGGCGAGCGUUGUCCGGAUUUAUUGGGCGUAAAGAGCUCGUAGGCGGUUCAACAAGUCGGUCGUGAAAGUUCAGGGCUUAACCCUGAAAUGUCGAUCGAUACUGUUGUGACUAGGAUAUGGUAGAGGUGAGUGGAAUUCCAAGUGUAGCGGUGAAAUGCGUAGAUAUUCGGAGGAACACCAAUAGCGAAGGCAGCUCACUGGGCCACUAUCGACGCUGAGGAGCGAAAGCUAGGGGAGCAAACAGGAUUAGAUACCCUGGUAGUCCUAGCUGUAAACGAUGGAUACUAGAUGUAGGAAUUGGAUUGACGAUUUCUGUAUCGUAGCUAACGCGUUAAGUAUCCCGCCUGGGA
rnacentral:rRNA from 1 species